rnacentral:rRNA from 1 species
AGAAUCAACGCUGGCGGCGUGCCUAACACAUGCAAGUCGAACGCGAGAGGGGAGCAAUCCCUGAUCGAGUGGCAAACGGGUGAGUAACACGUGGGUGACCUGCCUUCGAGUGGGGGAUAACGUCCCGAAAGGGACGCUAAUACCGCAUGACAUCCUGCUUUUGGAAAAGCGGACAUUAAAGCUAGGGAUCGCAAGACCUGGCGCUUGAAGAGGGGCCCGCGCCUGAUUAGCUAGUUGGUGGGUAACGGCUCACCAAGGCGACGAUCAGUA